rnacentral:rRNA from 1 species
UACGUAGGGCGCAAGCGUUGUCCGGAAUUAUUGGGCGUAAAGAGCUCGUAGGCGGUCUGUCGCGUCUGUUGUGAAAACCCGGGGCUCAACUCCGGGCCUGCAGCCGAUACGGGCAGACUAGAGUUCGGCAGGGGAGACUGGAAUUCCUGGUGUAGCGGUGAAAUGCGCAGAUAUCAGGAGGAACACCGGUGGCGAAGGCGGGUCUCUGGGCCGAUACUGACGCUGAGGAGCGAAAGCGUGGGGAGCGAACAGG